UGGAGCUGGAAUACCCGAGCUGCCAUAUGUACAGUCAAGAGCGAUGUUAUAACAAAGUAGCAUAACCUGGAUAGCUUAUAAAACAACAGAAACAUAUUUCUGUCAGUUCUGGAGUCUGGGAUGCCUAAGACAAAAGAACUGGGGAAUUGGGUGUCUGAGGGACGGCAGAUGGAAGAUGGUGGAGACGAAAGGUCAUCAUCCAUAGGAGCUGGAGGGCAAGAUGGAGUUUGGCCAACAUCUGACGUUACUGGAGCUUAAGGAUAAUCAGCUACCUCCUUGAUUUGUUCACAUCUACAGAAGUUCCUAAUGCGAGAUCUAGUCCUGUCUGUGAAAGUUCACAAGGAAUAUUUGCGUGGAGCCAGCACAGCGUCAUCUCCUCCUCAUUCGCUGACCAAAGCAAGGAGCAAGAGGGGCAAUGAGAAAUGUUCAGCGGGAACUGAAUGGGCAGACUCUAUUAUUAUGCAACAAUAAAAAUGACCAAAUCACUGGCCUACACGAUGUGCAGAAAAGAAAGAUAUACAAGAAAAAGUCCUGAGCACCUUCUCCUAGGAGGGAGCCCACCCAGAGCCAAGCAGAGCCAUCACCGUCCUAUUGCUUCCCCUUCCUGUCGCAGGAGGUCAACCCAUGGAGCUGCCUGCAAAAUAGGGCUCCUCAGACA